rnacentral:lncRNA from 1 species
GCACAGACUCAAGCAGCUUGGAGGAAGAGUCGCCGUUCUUUCCACACGGUGUGCUCUGGGACUGGCCACAGCCUUUGGAGAACCAUCUGCCUUCCCGCCAGGCUGGUGGAGCCUAAGUCUUCCUGCUCCUUAGCCUCAGAUCAUUCUGACAAUUUUUUCAUACAUCCAUUUCAGACAAGUCCCCUGGAGGUCCUCACACCCAGAUUCGUGGACUACCUCCUCCCGGGAUCCUCCCUCUUCCUGGACUUAGACACCCCACAGCUUCCUCUCUCCCCUUCAGCCUCCUGGAUGAGAUCCAUCCCUGGCAGUUGUCUGCUUCCAACCUGGCACUGUAGGGCCACUCAGCUGCAUGGGCCAUCCUCAGCCUGCUUGGUCAUGUGGAACAGCAUAGUGAGGCUUCGGUCAACAGCCCCCAGUCCCUCGGGUGCCAUUAGGGGCCUACAAGAGUAGUUUUCUCUCAGCGUC